rnacentral:rRNA from 3 species
GCAUAUCAAUAAGCGGAGGAAAAGAAACCAACCGGGAUUGCCUCAGUAACGGCGAGUGAAGCGGCAAGAGCUCAAAUUUGAAAUCUGGCCCCUUUGGGGUCCGAGUUGUAAUUUGCAGAGGAUGCUUCGGGUGCGGUCCCCGUCUAAGUGCCCUGGAACGGGCCGUCAUAGAGGGUGAGAAUCCCGUCUGGGAUGGGCGGCCGCGCCCGUGUGAAGCUCCUUCGACGAGUCGAGUUGUUUGGGAAUGCAGCUCUAAGCGGGUGGUAAAUUUCAUCUAAAGCUAAAUACUGGCCGGAGACCGAUAGCGCACAAGUAGAGUGAUCGAAAGAUGAAAAGCACUUUGAAAAGAGAGUUAAACAGCACGUGAAAUUGUUGAAAGGGAAGCGUUGUCCACCAGACUCGCCCGGGGGGGUUCAGCCGGCACGUGUGCCGGUGUACUCCUCUCCGGGCGGGCCAGCAUCGGUUUGGGCGGCUGGUGAAAGGCCCCGGGAAUGUGCCACCCUUCGGGGUGCCUUAUAGCCCGGGGUGCCAUACAGCCAGCCUGGACCGAGGCCCGCGCUUCGGCGAGGAUGCUGGCGUAAUGGUGGUCAACGGCCCGUCUUGAAACACGGACC